GUAUUUUUAGAUUACUAAAUCAACCAGCUGGAAUUUAUCAGCUGAAUAAGAAUAGUUAAUCAUAACCUGCAGAUUUUCAUAUAGAUAAAAUACUCUCUAAUCCUCUCUCCAGUUGACCAUUUGUCAUUUUUUUUACCUUUCGUGGAGCCCCACAAGCAGUAUGUAUGUGACAGUAUGUAUGUAUAUAGAAAGUGUCCUAUAUAUUGGCAAAUAUGCACAAUAAAUGGCUGGGACAGACAGGUUUUUGCUGAAAAUUAACAUGCUCACCUCACACUUCUCCCUCCCUUGAAAUGACCCAAGGAGUCCCUCCUGGCUGGCCGUGGUCAGUUGCAUGGGGAACUGUCCAGCUUAGUUGCUUGUAAAAUAGGACAAUCCUCAUUGUUAAGGUUUCUGUCUUCCAGCACUUUACAUCAGAAUUUUCUACCUGUUUUCCUCAUUGCUCCUUGAAUUACUCUUAUGGAUGUAACAAUUUCAAUUUAUUGGUUUCUUUGACUUCUUUCUAUUCAGUUUCAUGUCAUUAUAAUUCCUACCUAGUCUGUUUCACUUUUUUCUCUGUUUUCAAGACUUCAUUUCCUUUUAUAAAAGUAAAUUCUUCAUUUCUUCAAAGGAAAUCUUGCAGUUUCAAUUUUGGAAAGGUGUGGUCCAUUUCCCUGCACUUCAUGUCAUCCCAUGCCAUUUGAUUGUUUUCCCUUUGUUGCAGAUUUUUUUUUCUUUAAGUGUUUCAUUUCAUCAAUUUCUUCUCCUGUCUUUUUGUUUGACUUCAUUCCCUGAUUUUGGAACUUUAGUAAAUUUAAUUUUGGAAAUUUUGAGUCCUUUUCACUGCACCUCACUUCAUCCCAAUCAAUUUGGUUGGAGUCACUGCAUUCCCAAAUUGUCUUUUUUUUUUUUUAAUUGCAUUUUAUUUUAUAUUGCAUUUCCCUUCUAGAGUGUUUGUUACACUUUCUUCUCUGUUUUCAAGAUUUCAUUGUUGAAAUUUCUGAACCAAACUAAAAAAAUUAAAAUGGAAUGGGACGAUAUGAAGCGCAGGGAAAGGGACCAAACCUUGCUUGUUUGGUACUGUUGGUACUUGUUUGGUACUUGAAUUGGUACAGUUUGAAAUCGCGAGAUUUUGAAAUGAAUGAAAAUGAAACCUCAAAGUCAGCGAAAAAAGUGAAACAAACGGACUGGGGCAGGGUUACAAUGGCAAGAAAUUCAAUGGUCAAAAAUAAAGAAAAUUCUGAAAUAAAGCUAUUGACAUCAAGUGUGGGGAGAUGACAUGAAUUGCUCCUGUUUGCAUGCCUUUUGUAGUUGCAAUGUCCCUGAAGUCCUGAACUUUGUGCUUUUCUCAGCCCUGAGCCUGACCCUAACCCUAGGUGGAACAGUAAAAGCAGGCUGCCACUGAGGCUGAGGUGCUGAGCAGAAACCUGUGCAGGGAGCAGUGCUGGGGCAGUGCCAUGCUCCCCUUGGCAGGCCUUUUGUAGUUGGAGCGUUCCUGGAGCAGAAUACAGCUUUUAUUGCUGCAUCUAUCCAUGUUUAUGUUAUUUGAGAAAACCAAAUCCAAGGGUUGUAACUUCCUGUAUUCUCAGGAUCAGGUCUGAAAAAACUAGAACUGAUACAAGUCUGUAAUUCUUUACUGAUGUCAGAAUUCCUUCUUCCAAGUCAUUGUAAUAUUUCUAUUUUCCUAUAUUUAAUAUAUUACUAAUAAUGAAGAAUGAAUCUUUGUCCUUGGUAGCUUCACUGGUUCCGGUGACACAGUUUUAGUCGCAAACUCAGUCUUAAUUUUCUGGGUGUAAGUGAUUCUUCCAGGACAUAUUUGGAAAUUACUAGUUGUUUUAGUAAAACUAAAUGAACCAGUUUUAUUUAUAUAAAAACAUAAAUGCUGUAACCAGGACAUAUGUGAAGGAGAGGCAAAGGCCUUUAGAAAUGCAGCAGAACUACAAGUUGAGAUUUGUCUUAAUAGCAAUUAUAUGUGACAAUAAGCUGAAAAGUAACAGUUAAAUGAGAAAUACAGUUAUUUUAAAGAUGAUGCAAUAAAGUGUUUUGGGAAAGAAGGGUUUUGGUCUGUCUUUAUAAGUUGCAAAUUUAAAUGUAUUUGUUUACAAGCCCUACAGAUCAUUACAGGGGCAUUGAAUUGGUUAUAUUAAACCCACCAUUAACCCAGCUGAUCAUGCAAGACCCAGCUUGGGAGAAACUGCAUUGGCACAGCCUCUUGCUCAUCCUGCAUUUUUCAUCACUACCACCCUCCAUCUGUGCAUUACUUGUGUUGUUAUAAAUUUGGCAACACUUCAGCAGCGAGCUACUGUUUAUAACUAGAGAUCCCAGCAGCUAAAAGAAGCCAGUCACUGGGAUUACUCAUAACUUGCCUUGUGAACUGCUCAAGGGAAUUUCUUGAAGAACUGUGUCAAAAUCAGCUUUAGAAACCAUUAAUUUGAGAGCUUUCAUUGACACAUAAGAAAUGUUCUGAUAUUACUGUUGGUCAAGUUGGUGGGCGUGGAAAGAAGAUUCUUUUUGUUGGUACUGAGAGAAAAUUUUCUCAUUUUGUGCAACGAAACGAGAAUAAGCUUUUUUCCUCUCUGCAAGAAGAAAUCUGACGCAGUGGGAACUCAAUCACCCAGCCACCAUGAAUGCUUGCAGAAGGAUCCAUUCUCUCCGUGCUCACAGACAGAAAACUAAUGGAAACAGAAGUGAGAACUGGCACAGCACCUCUGGGUUCAACCACCAGCAUGGAGAUGAUCUUGUUACAGUCCACACCCUUUACACAGUGAUCAUCAUGAUCCUUCUAGUGGCACUCUGGGGAGCCUGGUCAAGAAAGGACUCAUCCUUAUAGCAGCAAUAUUGGAACUUUCAUUGUCAAAUAUUUAAAGAGGUAUUUGUGUCAAUUAUUAAUACUCAAGAGGUACAAAAAAUGGUCCCAGCGUAUUUCAGUUUACUUGAAACUGCUUAAAUGCUUGCUACUUGUGGAAGCAAAUCUAUGAAGCAAACCAUGUACAGAACAUAAUUUUGUGAAUAACAGACACCUGUUUGACCUGUACACAUUGAUAUUACCCUCAGCCUUCAUGUAUAUGAAACUUUAAGCAUGAUAUUCUAGAAAGAAGAGUUCAACUUCUGUUUUAUUGGUCAAUAUUUUUUAUGUCCAUCCCAGCUUUCCAUUUGUGAACUUGCUAAGUCUCUACCUCUGCUAAGUUUGCCUGUCCCAAUCCAUGGUAAAACAUACACUACAAGCAGGGAAAUAAUCUAUUGUGUCACAACAAGAUAGGAAAAAAAAUCAAUAAACCCAGCUAUUAUGUUGGCAAA